rnacentral:misc_RNA from 1 species
AUGAGUUAGGGUCCUCCAGGCCCGACCUCCAACCCUUUGUUUAACUACCAUGUUGCUUUGGCGGGCCCGUCUUUCACCGGACCGUCGGAGGUUUUUAAAUCUCUGGCCAGUGCCCGUCAGUAGCCUACCACAAAUACCUUUCAACCAUGUUAUAUCUGAAAAUAAGUUAAAUAAACUA